GAUGAAUGCUGGCGGCGUGCCUAACACAUGCAAGUCGAGCGGCAGCGAAGGGUGCUUGCACCCUGUCGGCGAGCGGCGGACGGCUGAGUAACGCGUGGGAAUCUACCCUAAAGUGAGGGAUAACCGCCCGAAAGGGUGGCUAAUACCGCAUAUGAUCUUCGGAUUAAAGGAUUUAUCCGCUUUAGGAAGAGCCCGCGUUAGAUUAGGUAGUUGGUAGGGUAAUGGCCUACCAAGCCAACGAUCUAUAGCUGGUCUGAGAGGAUGAUCAGCCAGACUGGAACUGAGACACGGUCCAGACUCCUACGGGAGGCAGCAGUGAGGAAUCUUCCACAAUGGGCGAAAGCCUGAUGGAGCAACGCCGCGUGAAGGAUGAAGGCCUUCGGGUUGUAAACUUCUUUUAUGAGUGAAGAAUAUGACGGUAACUCAUGAAUAAGCACCGGCUAACUACGUGCCAGCAGCCGCGGUCAUACGUAGGGUGCAAGCAUUAUCCGGAGUGACUGGGCGUAAAGAGUUGCGUAGGCGGUUUAAUAAGUGAAUAGUGAAACCUGGUGGCUCAACCAUACAGACUAUUAUUCAAACUGUUAAACUCGAGAGUGGUAGAGGUAACUGGAAUUUCUAGUGUAGGAGUGAAAUCCGUAGAUAUUAGAAGGAACACCAAUGGCGUAGGCAGGUUACUGGACCAUUUCUGACGCUAAGGCACGAAAGCGUGGGGAGCGAACUGGAUUAGAUACCCAGGUAGUCCACGCCGUAAACGAUGGAUACUAGCUGUUGGAGGUAUCGACCCCUUCAGUAGCGAAGCUAACGCGUUAAGUAUCCCGCCUGUGGAGUACGGCCGCAAGGCUAAAACAUAAAGGAAUUGACGGGGACCCGCACAAGCGGUGGAUCAUGUUCUUUAAUUCGAUGAUAAACGAAGAACCUUACCAGGGUUUGACAUCCCGAGAAGAUUUACGAAAGUAGAUUGUGCCUUUUGGAACUCGGUGACAGAUGAUGCAUGGCCGUCGUCAGCUCGUGUCGUGAGAUGUUUGGUUAAGUCCAUCAACGAGCGCAA
rnacentral:rRNA from 1 species